rnacentral:lncRNA from 1 species
AAGAUCUUCAGUAUUAUACUACUGAACUUUUUAGUACAUUAGUGUCAUUUUCUACAAGUUUAAUUUCCUAGGUUUGUUAUCAUUUACUAAGAAUGAUAAAUACGUGUUUAAUACGCCAUGUAUCACUCUCCCCUUUAUUAACAAUUGACAAGUAUCACAAAUUCCGCGCAUAGAACACUAUUUGAUUGCUUUGGAAAAAAAUGAGCUAAAAUUCCAUUAGAAUUCAUUAACUUAUGUUUGAGCUCGAAAAUUCGGGUUUUUAAAAUUGAAUUUAUUUUGAACAGAUGUUUUUGGAAUAAAUUGGAUACAUCUUAAGAAGUUUGAAUCUCAAUUUUGGGAUGAUUUGGUGAAGUUUUGAGGUGGUUUUAAUUGAAAAUUCGAAGUAAGAGAUAAAAAUGAAAGAAGAUGAAAUGUGUAUCCCUCGUGUAUCACAUAUUUAUGUAUCCGGUGUAUAUCCAUGUAUAAUUGUAUGUGAGAUACAUGUUAAAUACACUUCAAACUAGUCCAAAUCACCUCCGAUCUUCCUCAAAGUUUGUAUAUUGACUCAUUUAUAUAUGUGUUUUCAACAUACUCCAACUAUACUCAUUGAGACAAAAAAGAAUUUUGCCUAGGUUUUUUUAAAUAUUAUAUAUCGUUGAUAAGGAAUUUUGAUCCAAACCAGCUUAAAUCACCUCAAUCUCUCUUAAAUUUUGUAAUUUGUGUAUUGCCUAUUUAUGUGUUUUCAAUAAAUUUCAAUCAUACCCAUUAAAAAAAAUUGCCUAAAUUUUUUUGAAUGUUGUAUAGCAUUAAUAACUUUUUAUGGCUUUUGAUAGCAUGACUUAAUGUCUAAGGGGUCGUUUGGUAUGUGGACUAAAUUAUCCGGGGAUUAUAAUCCUGAGAUUAUAAUUUAAGUACUAAUUUAUACCACAUGAGAGAUGGGAUAAAAUAAUCCCACAUUUGAUGGGAUAAGAUAGGAUAUCAUAGAUUAAGUCUGGGAUUAAAUUUAUACCUUGUUUGGUUGGCGCCUGACGGUUUAAAUUUAUCCUACCUCCAACCAAACAAUGUAUAAAUUUUAUCCUACAUCUUAUCCCACCUUAUAUCCCACCUUAUACCUCAUACCAAACGACCCCUAAAUGUUAGUAAGUCGUGUCUAUUUGUGCCUAUUCCUAUAAUUUUCUCUUAUUUGUUUAUGUUGUUGGUCUUCUCUCUUCCGUUUACUUGAUCAACUUGAUCAAAAAAAGUAUAGCGGCAUGGUCAGUCCCCUUUCCGUGUUUGUUCAAUGGAAAAAGUCCAAAUUGAUGGACUCAAAACUAAGAAAAAUUGCAUGGGGCGUCCUAUUUGGUAACCCCUUUUUAACUUAUAUCCGUUUUGUUUUUCCGUUUGCAUCCGUACCCAUUUUUUUUAUUAAAAGUAUUUUAAAAAGACGAUUUUACUCUUGUUUAAUAAAAGAUUAUUGACAAACUGCAGGAUAAAAACUUAAGCAUGUUUAGGCUGAAGUUUUAGCAAAUAAACUAAAAAACUUCAGCUUGUUUAGACUGAAAUUUCGGAUAAAACUCA